UGCCAGCCGCCGCGGUAAUACGGAGGGUGCAAGCGUUGUUCGGAAUUAUUGGGCGUAAAGAGCAUGUAGGCGGACUGUUAAGUCUGGCGUGAAAGCCCGGGGCUCAACCCCGGAAGUGCGUUGGAUACUGGCAGUCUUGAGUAUGGGAGAGGAAAGUGGAAUUCCGAGUGUAGGAGUGAAAUCCGUAGAUAUUCGGAGGAACACCAGUGGCGAAGGCGGCUCACUGGCUCGAUACUGACGCUGAGGUGCGAAAGCGUGGGGAGCAAACAGGAUUAGAUA
rnacentral:rRNA from 1 species